UACCUAUGGAGAGAUCCACAUAGUGAAGAACUCGGGUAUCCUGAUAAUAGCCAACACCAACUUGCCACCCAUGUGACUCAACCAUAUUGAAGGCAGAUCUGCUAGCCCUCAGGUAUUCAAGGAUAUCAGAAGUCUCUCAAUGCUUUUGAGCUCCCCAGACUUAAAACCUUUUGCUGUCUUCUACACCUAAACAAGUGCCUCCCUAUACUUGAGACAUCUCUAAUUUUUACUUCAAAUGGUUAUAACUGUAUCCUAAUGGAAGAACACUGACAGGAAAACAAUCAAGAUGUCCAAUAUUUGGGCAUAUCUAUCUCCACUUAGUUCAAGAAAUUCAACUUGUCCCAGAUAUUGCCAAACAGAAAUUUCAACUCCAAGCAUGCUUUGAAUCUGGAUGGAUCCUCAUUCCAACAGAGAUGGUACCUGGACCUGAGCAGAGGACUUAAGAAAUUGCUGUUAAGAGGAUAGCAAAGAACUCCCAAGGAAAUUUUUCCCAGCCUCUCUUGCAGCUGGGCUAGGGCACAAGUAACAGUUCCAAUUAAAGGAUGUGGGAAAUUUUCA